ensembl:snoRNA SNORD54 small nucleolar RNA U54
CGGCCGUGAGGAGAACACCUUUCUGGAAUGAACUGCGGAUGAAUUAUUCCAUACGCUAUUCUGAGCCGCCG